rnacentral:rRNA from 1 species
GACGAACGCUGGCGGCAUGCCUAAUACAUGCAAGUCGAGCGAACAGAUGAAGUGCUUGCACUUCUGACGUUAGCGGCGAACGGGUGAGUAACACGUAAGGAAUCUACCUAUAAGCGGAGGAUAACAUUCGGAAAUGGGUGCUAAUACCGCAUAAUAUCUUCUUCCGCAUGGAAGAAGAUUGAAAGACGGCUCUGCUGUCACUUAUAGAUGACCUUGCGGUGCAUUAGUUAGUUGGUGGGGUAAUGGCCUACCAAGACGAUGAUGCAUAGCCGACCUGAGAGGGUGAUCGGCCACAUUGGGACUGAGACACGGCCCAAACUCCUACGGGAGGCAGCAGUAGGGAAUCUUCCGCAAUGGGCGAAAGCCUGACGGAGCAAUGCCGCGUGAGUGAAGAAGGCCUUCGGGUCGUAAAACACUGUUGUAAGAGAAGAAUGACAUUGAGAGUAACUGUUCAAUGUGUGACGGUAUCUUACCAGAAAGGAACGGCUAAAUACGUGCCAGCCGCCGCCGUAA